rnacentral:rRNA from 1 species
GGACGAACGCUGGCGGCGUGCUUAACACAUGCAAGUCGAGCGAUGAAGCUCCUUCGGGAGUGGAUUAGCGGCGGACGGGUGAGUAACACGUGGGUAACCUGCCUCAUAGAGGGGAAUAGCCUUUCGAAAGGAAGAUUAAUACCGCAUAAGAUUGUAGUACUGCAUGGUACAGCAAUUAAAGGAGUAAUCCGCUAUGAGAUGGACCCGCGUCGCAUUAGCUAGUUGGUGAGGUAACGGCUCACCAAGGCGACGAUGCGUAGCCGACCUGAGAGGGUGAUCGGCCACAUUGGGACUGAGACACGGCCCAGACUCCUACGGGAGGCAGCAGUGGGGAAUAUUGCACAAUGGGGGAAACCCUGAUGCAGCAACGCCGCGUGAGUGAUGACGGUCUUCGGAUUGUAAAGCUCUGUCUUUAGGGACGAUAAUGACGGUACCUAAGGAGGAAGCCACGGCUAACUACGUGCCAGCAGCCGCGGUAAUACGUAGGUGGCAAGCGUUGUCCGGAUUUACUGGGCGUAAAGGGAGCGUAGGUGGAUAUUUAAGUGGGAUGUGAAAUACCCGGGCUUAACCUGGGUGCUGCAUUCCAAACUGGAUAUCUAGAGUGCAGGAGAGGAAAGGAGAAUUCCUAGUGUAGCGGUGAAAUGCGUAGAGAUUAGGAAGAAUACCAGUGGCGAAGGCGCCUUUCUGGACUGUAACUGACACUGAGGCUCGAAAGCGUGGGGAGCAAACAGGAUUAGAUACCCUGGUAGUCCACGCUGUAAACGAUGAAUACUAGGUGUAGGGGUUGUCAUGACCUCUGUGCCGCCGCUAACGCAUUAAGUAUUCCGCCUGGGGAGUACGGUCGCAAGAUUAAAACUCAAAGGAAUUGACGGGGGCCCGCACAAGCAGCGGAGCAUGUGGUUUAAUUCGAAGCAACGCGAAGAACCUUACCUAGACUUGACAUCUCCUGAAUUACUCUGUAAUGGAGGAAGCCACUUCGGUGGCAGGAAGACAGGUGGUGCAUGGUUGUCGUCAGCUCGUGUCGUGAGAUGUUGGGUUAAGUCCCGCAACGAGCGCAACCCUUAUUGUUAGUUGCUACCAUUUAGUUGAGCACUCUAGCGAGACUGCCCGGGUUAACCGGGAGGAAGGUGGGGAUGACGUCAAAUCAUCAUGCCCCUUAUGUCUAGGGCUACACACGUGCUACAAUGGUCGGUACAAUGAGAUGCAACCUCGCGAGAGUGAGCAAAACUAUAAAACCGAUCUCAGUUCGGAUUGUAGGCUGAAACUCGCCUACAUGAAGCUGGAGUUGCUAGUAAUCGCGAAUCAGAAUGUCGCGGUGAAUACGUUCCCGGGCCUUGUACACACCGCCCGUCACUCCAUGAGAGUUGGCAAUACCCAAAGUUCG